CACUGCUGAGGAUUUGGGACAGCAAGAACAAGAAUUGCGAGACCUGCAAGCGGCGACAGCUGCAGCCGCUACCGCUGCUCCCGAUCCUGUGGAGACACAGACGGUCAGACUCCGACUGGUGGUGCCUAUGCGGGUGCUGUCCAGCCAUGCCAACAGAAGAGGAAUGUCUGUGCUGCAACAAAUUACAUCGCGGACAGUUCUAACUGGAGAGGCUCAAUGCAGACCCCAUGGAUCAUGUGUAUGUGACAGACCAUUGGUGUUACAUAUAGAUACAGGGGUGCUGGAGAUGUUCUUCAGAACCUCCCAUAUCAACUGGCAGCGGCAGCCUAGACAAGCUGGACCAGGAGGGCAUAUGAUUAACAAACAAUAACGGUUGGUGGCCUACAGAUUAUUUUUGGAGUGAGUUCUACGUGGCGAGAAGCUACGCAGAGGACACCGAAUCCCCUUGCCUGGGGGUGUUGUUGAGGCCAUAGCAAUUUAUCCCUCACACGAUAGACAGGUUAUGGAAUGGUGACCACAGAUGGUAUCUAGAUGCAUUGAAGAUAAUUCGGCCAAGAACAGUGUGAACCUCGACACCCCCUCUAACUGGCUGAAAAUGGCAAAAAUGGCAUUCAGUAUGGUCCUUCACUACUUCUACUGUGAGGCCUGAGUCCGAGCCAAAAACCUGUACACAGCAGUCGAAGCUAUCAACUGCCUUUUCUCUCAUGCUUUUUCUCUCAGGAGCGACAUGGGGUGCUUAUGGAGUGAGCAUGGAGAGAGAUCCAGUCCAAACUUCUCUCAUGUUCCUGGUGUACUGGUAGGAAAAUGGACAAAGACAUAAUGGCUGUAAAGAACAGCGGCGGCUCAGUUGCGAGACAUUAUCAAGGGUCAUCCACUUUGAACAUGUGCCAUUAAAAGGACAAACUGAAACUCUUUCUGAAGAAGAACAUGAAGAAUGAGUGCCGUGAAGGGGGGGUGGUCAACCAUGCCAGUAAUUCAUUUAGGCGUGUCCAAAAUUGUUCAGUUGGGGUAUCAGGUUGAUUGUGGAUGUCUGCACAUUGCAAAAUAUAUAGUAAUUUAGACUAAGAAUGCAUUGAAAUACCAAUCUGUCAUUACCACAGGUGAUGAGAAAAGUGAGGGUCUUAAAUUACAGUGAUAGAACCAACGUGAAGCACUGAGGACUGUCAUUCUAAAUUUGGGUUGGAUGACGUAUCAAUAAUUAUAAUGCAUGAUUUGGAAAGACAAGGCUUCUAGAGACAGAGCUGUGCCCUAAAAAAGGAGGAGAGACCAGAUUGUAGCUUGGACAAACCUUGCCCCAAUCUCAUUCUUAUCAAGUUUGGUGUGAAACUGUUACAACGUGUUCUCUUUCUCUUCCCUGUGAAAUGUUAUUAAAAACAUGCUGUAAGGCGAUGUUCCUCUCUGGCUGAUAAGAUUUCAGUAGCUCUCUUGUUUUCUACUCCUAUAGAGGAUAGCAACUCUGGAUGAGCUCCCAUUUCCCCCUGUUCUUUUCCUUUAACAAGCUGAGGGUAAGGACAUCUAAAGCCUUAACCUGUUUACAUUAAGUGGAACACUGAUCUGAUGAGCCAGCACCAACCUUUUGAAAGUUUUAGCAGAAUUGUAUUUUGACUAGGUGU